AGUCUUCGGCUGGGUCUGCCCGUGCUCGCGCCACUUUUACCACCUCAAUCUCGAAACAGAGAUGAUGACGACCAGAAAGUGUGAAAAAGAAGUACAGACACGUUUGUGUGUGUAUAUGUAUAUGUGUGUGUGUGUGUGACCAGGACAGAAAACACAGCGAGAGAACAGUGAGAACAGGCAGGCAGAGGCACAGAACGAGAGAGAGACGGGCCGAACGAACGAGAUAGAAACAGAACGAUGGAGGCACACACUGAAACCAAGGGGAUGUUCACACUUCUGGUAGAGACGUUUCUCUACCCUUCACGGUUUCUUCGUUCGCCCAUCACGCCAGACACAUCUCUCCCCCUUAUUCAACGAUCGAACGUUGAACCUCAGAACCACGCUCUUCGUGAUCUGACAACGAGAUCUUAGAUGAGAGCAGCUCGAACGAGACGCGGCUGUCACCACGUAGAGCGCACAUUUGCGCUCGGCCGACCCGAGCUAGGCUUUACUACUACCGUCUGAAUCCGCUUCUUUCCCUCGGCCCGGGAGUCGAAGCGUCGAUACCACGACGACGCUUGCGCGCCACCCCCGAUCCACCCUUUCCCACCCGGGCAUUUUCACAGCGCAUUGGCUCGAAGCCUGUCGGCGCGACGCCACGGCGCCCUGCACGAACAAAGUCGUUCCUCCUCGCACAUCAUCCCCGAAACACCCGAAAAUCCACACGAUUUUCGGCCAAUUCUCGCGCCUCCCCCGUAUUCUCCCUUCCCCGAUUUCCUGGGAAGCUUUUUUUCCUCUCACUUUCCCUUUUUUCUUGAAUUUCAUCGCUGGCCUGGAACGUUGGUCGGUUGUCGACGCGCUCGACACGUGCUCUGGCAAUGUCGGUCAACGGGGCUGUUUCGUCACUCCACGCCGAAGCGGGAAGUCGCCCGCCUUUCACGAUUUCAAUCGCAAAACUGCUUCGUGUCGCAGCUGCGUCAUACAUCUUUACUCGCUUAUUAUCUCGUUUUUCUAGUGGACGACGUGGAAACGAUGUCGAGAGUCAUUCAGCUCGGGUAUUUUUGGAAAUUUUCAAAUAUCUAUAAUGAGCAGAUUAAUAUAAGGGAGAGAAAAGAGAAAUAAAGAUGAAGAUUUAUUGCAAGUGUGAUGAGUCAACUAUCAUAGAAAAAAUGAUUGGAAGAUGUUAUUUAAUUUUGAGGAAAAUUCUUAAGUGAAACUUGUUGAUUUAGAGCUGUCCGUUCGGAGAACAGGUGAUUAAUACUUUGCAUGCUUUUAUGCACCAAUAAGGUGUCACCAAGCUCGAUCCUCGACAUGUCUACAGAUUAAAAUCCCAUUAUGCAAAUUAUCCAUAAUAACUUCGUUUGCAUUCGACUGACCGAGAACUUCUCCACAUAUUUCUGCCAGAUAGCGAUAUCAAUGACUUAGUGAACACAACAUUCAUCAAUUUUGUCGUUCAUUAUCCAUGAAUGAUAUAAAUACAUAUGUUGAAUUCGCUUAGAUCGUUUUAUUUAUUUAGCAAUAAAUCUAAGUAAUAUAUGUAUGUACAUAUGCUAAAUUAAUAUAGGAAAACGAAUAAGUUCGUAAUCACUCUAAUAAAUGAUAUUUGAUAUAUUUUUUUUAUUUCAAUAAUUAUAUUUAUCACAUUAAAAAUUCCUUUUAAUUCUGAAUUUUCUCUCUGAAUCUGAUAUUAUCUACAAUAAUCUGUAUCAUAUACAAAUAAAUAUGAAACUCAUGAUUGAAAUAAAUAGAAUUUAAAUAGAGAUUUCACUCAUUUAUUGAAUACUAUGCUAUAUUAAAUAACAAUGUAUGAUUUUCUUAUAAUAUUUUUAUAUUUUUACAUAUUAUAUACAAAUCUUAUAAAAUGUUUUAUAUAUUUAAAUUUUCUAUUAAUACAUGAACAUCUGUACAUUUACCUGCGAUAGUAUCUAAGAUAUAUCAUUAAAAUAAAUAAAUCAAUUUAAAAAA